rnacentral:rRNA from 1 species
GACGAACGCUGGCGGCGUGCCUAAUACAUGCAAGUCGAACGCAGUGGGGACGGGUGAGUAACACGUGGGUAACCUCGCAUCAGAGGGGAUAACACUUGGAAACAGGUGCUAAACCGAUACUGAUGGAUGGCCCCGCUGUGCAUUAGCUAGUUGGUGAGUGAACGGCUCACCAAGGCCACGAUGGAGAGUCGACCGGAUAGGGGGAUCGGCCACACUGGAACUGAGACGCGGCCCAGACUCCGACGGGAGGCAGCAUUAGGGAAUCGUCGGCAAUGGACGAAAGUCGGACCGAGCAACGCCGCGUGAGUGAAGAAGGUUUUCGGAUCGUAAAACUCUGUUGUUAGAUAAGCGGUAUCUAACCAGAAAGCCACGGCUAACUACGUGCCAGCAGCCGCGGUAAUAC